GGCCGGGAUCAGGCCCAAUCCCGUGAAAAAUCCCGGCAUGGAAAAGAUACCAGCCUACGCAAGUAUAGGCGUUCGGUUAAGCCCAGACGAGAUUUUAUCCCGGCCCACCCCGGUGUUUUCCUCUCGUCAUCGGCCGGGAAAUAUUCAGCUUCUCUGGUGGCGAGGAAAAAAAUCCUCUCGACGCAGCGACGCAACGAGAGGGGGCGCUGCGGCGGGGACGGCUGCACGGCGCGGCGCGACUCCGACGCGACGGCGACGGCACGCUCUCUCCUCCGGCAGUUGACUCCUCCGGUGGUCACCUUCUCCCCUGUGAGUUCCUUCCCUUCCCAUCUCCCCUAGCCUCCUCUUCCAGUGUUAGGGUUUCUUGCGCUCGUGGCCUCGUGCUACUGCGGCGGCGCACGACGGUGGCAGGCAUGGCGGGGGACGCCGCAGCAUCACACCCCCUCACCAUGGCGCCGUUGAAGCUCUAAGCGCUACGGCAAGGAGAAGCAGGAGGACAUGGAUCUGUUCUUUGUUCCUCACAAGGCUUUGGGAGGAAGUCUGAGAGGAUGGUGGUUCAGAUACAGAGUGAAUGAGCAGACAUGUACAAGAUGAUGGCUUUUGCAGGAGCAACAAAUGUUGAUCUCUGAACCAUUGUAUAUUGCUGAUGUAACCAUUUGGUCUAGGAGUGGGUGUGGCAGCUCACAUUUAUUUUUAUAGCUCAAGUGAAUCAUGACAUAGUUUCAUCUUUUUCUUUUUUUAUUUUCAAAUUUCACUACUAUGACUGUAUUUAGUUGUCUCUGUAUUGUCAAGUGACCUCAAGCUUUGUUGGGUGAUGCCUCCUUGCCUUAAACCGGAUACAGGCCUUGAUGAUACUGCAAUAAUUUUGUUUUAAUGAUUAAUCAAUGUGGUUUUCGCGUAAUUGAUGAGGUUACUGCAAUAUUUUUUUUACUGAAGUGUAAUUUCAUUCAUGUUGCACUUUUCACUUAUACAAAAAUAUCGGUUUGCAAUAUUUUUUUGCUAUUCUAAACUAAACUGCCAACCUGAAAAUCAAUUUUGCUAUUCUAAACUCAAUGGACAGCGUGCAACGUUGAAGCAGGAAAGCACCAGUCCUUUGUUGUUGCUGUUGCCUAUUGCUGCCUUGGCACGGGAUUUAAGGAGGCGCACCAAGCCAAAACCGAACAAACGUUUU
rnacentral:lncRNA from 1 species